ACGGGCUAAGCUGAGAUGAAUGGAAUUAAGACUGAGUUAAUAACCUGACUAGGACUAGGGCUAGGAUGCAUCAUGUUUUCUAUUCUUGUGUGUUGAUAUGGUUGAGUGCAGGUUCCUGUUAUCUUUAAAGAUAGUUUCAUAGCAGGAGGCUGAACUAUCUGGGUAACGGUUUGAUUGAGUUUUUUAGUAUUGAUAUUGUUGUUUAGUAGUUGGUACUAAGGUCUUAGGCCAUAUAGGCCGGACUACUGGUACUAUUGGUUAGUCUUGUUGAGUCAAGAGUCUAGUUAGGAUCUGGAACUUUAUCUUUAGGUUAGGUUCUAGAUUGAGUUUGUGUUGUCUGAGAGUGCCGACAGUAUGUGCAUAACCUGCCCAUACUAGGCUUGUUUAGGGGUGAUUAGUGUUUCCUCGGCCUCGUACCUAGCGGGUUCAAGGAAAC
rnacentral:lncRNA from 1 species